UACGAAGGGGGCUAGCGUUGUUCGGAAUCACUGGGCGUAAAGCGCACGCAGGCGGAUUGAUAAGUCAGGGGUGAAAUCCCGGAGCUCAACUUCGGAAUUGCCUUUGAUACUGUCUAUCUUCGAGUUCGGGAGAGGUUGGCGGAAUUCCUAGUGUAGAGGUGAAAUUCGUAGAUAUUAGGAAGAACACCAGUGGCGAAGGCGGCCAACUGGCCCGAUACUGACGCUCAUGUGUCGAAAGCG
rnacentral:rRNA from 1 species